rnacentral:rRNA from 1 species
AACGAACGCUGGCGGCAGGCCUAACACAUGCAAGUCGAGCGCGCCCUUCGGGGUGAGCGGCGGACGGGUGAGUAACGCGUGGGAACGUGCCCUUUUCUACGGAAUAGCCUCGGGAAACUGAGAGUAAUACCGUAUACGCCCUUUGGGGGAAAGAUUUAUCGGACAAGGAUCGGCCCGCGUUGGAUUAGGUAGUUGGUGGGGUAAUGGCCUACCAAGCCGACGAUCCAUAGCUGGUUUGAGAGGAUGAUCAGCCACACUGGGACUGAGACACGGCCCAGACUCCUACGGGAAGCAGCAGUGGGGAAUCUUAGACAAUGGGGGCAACCCUGAUCUAGCCAUGCCGCGUGAGUGAUGAAGGCCUUAGGGUUGUAAAGCUCUUUCAGCUGGGAAGAUAAUGACGGUACCAGCAGAAGAAGCCCCGGCUAACUCCGUG